rnacentral:rRNA from 1 species
GUAGGUAAGGGAAGUCGGCAAAUUAGAUCCGUAACUUCGGGAUAAGGAUUGGCUCUGAAGACUGGGAUGGCUCGGGCUAUGCCCCGGCUUCGCGGCUGGGGUUUGCCUCAAUGCGGUCGUCCGGCGCCCUGGGUCGGCUGGUGCGGCACAUCCGUGCCGUGCCGGCUCCCGGGUGCCCGGGCCCGCUGCAGCCAUGCCAAACAGUCAAUUCAGAACUGGCACGGCUGAGGGAAUCCGACUGUCUAAUU